rnacentral:rRNA from 1 species
UACGUAGGGUGCGAGCGUUAAUCGGAAUUACUGGGCGUAAAGCGUGCGCAGGCGGUUUGCCAAGACAGAUGUGAAAGCCCCGGGCUCAACCUGGGAAUGGCAUUUGUGACUGGCAGGCUAGAGUGUGUCAGAGGGGGGUAGAAUUCCACGUGUAGCAGUGAAAUGCGUAGAGAUGUGGAGGAAUACCGAUGGCGAAGGCAGCCCCCUGGGAUAACACUGACGCUCAUGCACGAAAGCGUGGGGAGCAAACGGG